UGGGCCAAGGCUCUUGACCAUGACCUGUGCUUACUCUAUUUCUGAACCUUGUAUCUAGGGACAGAAGUCCAAGUCCAGCAGCUUCAGCUCUUGUGCCUGCUCUCUGGCCAUGGGGGCCCAGUAUCAGGAAGGGUCAGCCCCCCCAGACCCACCUGCUAUGGAGAAGAGCCGGCUCAGGAUAGGAAGACGGUUGCUCUGGCUAAAAGAGAAAGGAGCCCAGAGCCAACUGCCCAGAAGGAUGGGGUCCAACUAGAACGGACAGCCUCUGGAGGGCACAGGAGAGCAAGAGCAGCCAAGACCAAGAGCAGGAGCAACCCCUAGGGCUGGCCUCAAACCCAGUCCUGAGGAGAAUGUCCAAGUGUAUGGCCUUACAGGGUCUGAGGAGGCGGGAGGAACAGGACUGAGCUUGGUGGCCCACAAAGGUCACCUUCUCGCUGACCAACCUUUGAUGGCCAUCUCCACUUCCCUGUGUCAUCUCUGGACUCCUCGCUUGAGCUUCUGGAUCUCUUC